GCAAAGCAGGGGGAUUAACCAUAGAUUUAGCCUUUUCCAUUAUACCAGUCUUCCAUUUCUUACCUCAUAAAUGGCUAACCUUUAUCCCUAGCUCAGAUGAAGAUUUUGAAAACUCUAUCAAGAUAUAAAGAAAAUAAAAAAUUGUUUUAUUCAUUGCCUUUUCUUUAUCCUUCCUUUCUUGAUUUGUCAUUUCCCAGAGCAAAUCUGAUCUUUAAACAUGAGAAAUAGUAGUUUUAGAGAACUUUGCAACAUAGUAGAAGCUUAAAUGGACCCUUCUAACAAAUUAUGUCCACAGUGUGAUUA
rnacentral:lncRNA from 1 species